GAGCCUCAAAAGGUCCCUUUUAUUAGUAAGGAUUAACCCAAGGGGUAUAAGUGUAUAUUUACCUCUUUAAUUAAACCUAUUUUUGUGACUUUGAACCUUGAGUGCUACUUUGGGAACAUAAACUUGGUUUGGUGCUAUCCUAGUCUUUUUCUCUAAAUAUAUUCAGCAAUAUAGAAAACAAAAAGGUGUCCAACUACAUAUAAAAGUCUUUUGUACUGUAAUUAUUCCAUUAUUGUAUAUAUUAUAUAUAUUGAUUAGGACGUUUUAUUUUUAGUGUUGUAUUUGUAUUUCCUUUACUUUUAAGUUCAAACUCCUAAUCACCACAGAAAAUAAGUUCUGACUUGGUCAGUAAUCAGUUGUUUAUGUAACGUUUUUAACUCUUUUUUUUUUCAUUAACACACUUUACUUCUGUUGGAUUAAUUUCCUGUUUUUAAAAUCAAUAGAUUUGUUAAUCACCACGAGAAUAUUUGUUUUUACGUGUUUUGUCUUCACAUUCGUAGAGAUGCUCUUUUGACAUAAUGCAUACAAAGUAAAAACUAUAAAAGUUGCAUGAUAUCGGUUUUACUCCUACCUUGGAAUUCAUAUGAAUCUUUAUCAAAACACAAAAAUAAUAAUUUGUCGUAAGAUUAAUCUAGAAAUAAUUGAUACUUUUGCAUUAUAUAUAUAAAACAUCACUUAAAACCAAAAAUAAGGUAAAACAUCACUUAGUAUGAUACAAAUGUAGAAUUAGAUUAAUGAGUCUUCACAUGAGGUUAAGAACAAAUUGGUCUGAUUUUUAUUGGUUAAAAGUUAAAAUGGCUUUCAAUCUGCUCUGAGUUUUAAUUUUAUUUAUUUUAUAAUGAGUAAAGUUAUAUAUGUUAGCAUGCAAUUAGAACAGGUGAAGCAUGACGACUUCAACUUGCAAUGGAAAAAUCCAUAGCAGUGCUCCUUGUCCAUUUAUCACAUGUCUUUUCAUAUAUAUAUUCCAUUUUUCAAUCAUAUUGCUUCUUUUUCCUUUUAACUAAAACACCAUCACAAUUGUCCAUAUAUACUCUCAAAACGCGUUUACAUAUUACAUGCCAACAGCAUGACUUCUUGAGUUUAAGAAUUUUGGUGAGAAAGUAAAUCACUGUUUUUUUUUUCGUUAACAAUUAUGAAAGGUAAAGUAUAUGAAGUUGAAAGUAAAUCAUUGUUGUAUUGAGAAGAAAUGGAUUUUAAAACUGAAAAAAUGUUUUUGUAAAGAAACCAUGAAAUUAGUAAGACUAUAAAAUUGAUAUAAGUAAUGUUUUUUAAGUAUAUGAAAUUUUCAUUCAGAAAGAAAGUGAAUCAUGCAAUAAAGAAAGUUUAAUAGUGGAUAAAGACAUAAUAAACUAAGUUUAUGUGCUUAAAUGAAGACUGGUUUUUUCUGUGGUGGGUUGCAUGUUGUUCCACAGCCGUACUCGAGGUUGCCUUUUAAAAAAAGAUCACAUGCAUUUAGAAACGGAAAACAAAUAAUAACAACAAUAAUAUAAAUCUUAUAUAUAUAUAUAUACUGUUUUAGAUAAAUAAUAAAUCUAGAAAGAAAAUUGCAUGCAACACACACGAAUUAUAUCAGUAUACAGACUGUUGCCUACCUUAAUCUUUUUUUUUAAUCAGAAAUUAUCGGAAAAAUGCUACUAUAUGAAAUAUUUUUUUUGAAUACAAUCCUAGAAAAAAAAUCCAUUUUGAUCACUAAAAAUAUUGGGAAAUAGUCAAAUUAAUUAAUUCUCAUAUACUACAUUAGUUGUUCUGAUUUUUUAUAUAAUUAAAACUAAAAAGGAUUGCAAAGGAAACUUUAUUUGACUAAAAAAAACUUUAUUUGAUUGCAAUUAAAUUUUCCUUACAUUUCUUUAAAAAAAAUCCUUACAUUAAUUGUUAUCACUCAAAUUUUGUUAUAUUCGUUCUAAACGGUUUGCUCUAUCCAUUCCACAUAUUUUUGCAUUCAUUAUAUUUGCUCUACAUAAUCCGCUUAUUCAGUUUUGUUAUCACCAUCCACACCCAACGUAUACAAAAUGAAGAAAACACUUCAACAGAGAAUAUUAAUUAACUUAAAUUACUUUGGGCAAAAGUUCUAGAUCAUGCCAUCCAAAAUUAUACAGCUGGGUAUCAUCCCUUGAAAACCAUUAUUUCCGAUAAAAUUAGAUUUAAACCGAAAAGUACAUGAAUCUGAUUCAUAGUAGAUAUCAUUCAUAUAGUAAAAAAAAACAUUAUAGUAAACCAUCUGGGAUCGGAUAGAUAAGAGCUGCCAAGUUGAAAUAAACAUUAAACAAGCUACUCCAAAAUUCUCUUUUGUUAUGUGGAUGGCGAUGAAGGAAAGAUUAUCUACGGGUGAAAGAAUGAGUAAUUGGGGAGGCAGUGUUGAUACUACUUGUGUGUUUUGCCAAGAUCCUAUGGAGACUUUGGCUCACCUUUUCUUUGUCUGUCCAUAUUCUUCUCAGAUUUGGGAGGGUUUGACAAAGAGAGUUAUGGAUACUCAAUACACAACGAGUUGGAGGGGUAUUAUGCGAGUGGCUUUGGAUAAUACUCAAGAGAAGAUCAAGCUCUUCACUUUGCGGUAUGCUCUUCAAGCUACAGUGCACACAAUUUGGAUAGAAAGGAACAGAAGAAGACAUGGGGAAACUCCUAAACCAGCAGAGCUGUUGAUUAAAUGGAUUGAUAAGAUGGUGAGAAACAAGUUCUCAAUUAUAAGGAAGAGAGGGGAUAAGGAUUUUGAUGGAGGGAUGGUAUAUUGGUUUAGCACAAGAUAGAAAAAGGAGAUAGAAGUUUGAAUUUUUUCUUUUCAAAAUAGUUACACUUGAUGUAAAGCAAAGAACUUUUUCUUUUUGAAUUAAAUUUAACAUUCAAUUCAAAAAAAAAAAAAAAAAAAAAAAAAACAUUAAACAAGCGACUGAGGUUGGUUAGAUUAGAUUUUGUCAAUUUUUGUUUGAUUUACAUUGUUUACUUUUGUAGACGUAGCAAUAAGAGAUUAACUGAUUGAUGAGAGAGUAGAGACUAAAAUUAGGAGUAUAUUACUGCGCUGCAACUUGCAUAACCGGACUGUUAACAGUUGACACAUUAUAAUAGUAAUCUACUUAUAGCACAUCUUUGUUGGGGCCCUACACUGCUCUGCUCUUCUGGCACUUCCGCAUUUACUUUCCCACGCUCGUGAUAGAGGUGCGUGAAGUAUAAUAAGAUUCUCGCCAAAAGUAAAUAGUAAUAAUAUUUAUUUUUUCUACUUAUUUUUAAUUUUAAUUUUUUAUAACCGGAAAGUAUUGGACAAACCGAAGUCCAAUCAAAUAAUCUUUUGAGAAUAUGUUAAUCAGCGCCAAACAGAUUCGAUUGUUCGCAAUGAUAAUUUAAAACCAAUGUCGCCUGACCACACAAGCAGCUAUAUCUGAGAUGAUUUUAUUUCUACUUAUUAUAAAAAGGAUUAAUGAUCGUUUGUUUUAUUGGAUAGUAACAUUUUUGAUGAUGCACCUUCUAAAUUAAAAAAAAGUACUAUAAUGUUUAUUUAUAAUUUCCACAAGUUGCCUAAAAGAUAUACUGUUGCGGUAAUAAUUUUAAAAUAUAAACAAGAUUAGCAGUAAAAAGAAUAGAAAAAAUUGCAAAAUAGCUUUAGGAAGCUGAGAUUAGUUGGAAACAAAUAUCUUCUUGUUAAUAGUAUCAGUUAAAGACAUCAAUUACUCUUUUGCAAGUUUCUUUUAUGUGCGCCAUAUAUACUGCAUUGUAACCACAACGAACUCGCUAAAGAUAUUGUUAAUGAUUUAAUUGGAUAGGUAGCCUCUGUAUCAGUGUAUCAUAUUCUAAUCAGAGACACAAUAACUCACUGAAGAUAAAAGACGACAGAGAUAUUUUGCCUUUGUUUUCUAGUUUCCCUAUGAAGGCUAAGUUUGUUUUGUUGUUCUUACGUCACGAUCUUGUUCAUCUCAACCAAAUGUGAUGAUAAUUCACAAUCAAUCACUUAAUAAUAUUAUAUAUGUAAUAUCUAAACAAUAAAAAGAACUUUUGGCAUGUGCGAGUACCCACAUGAUAUACAAUAGUAACAUUUUUGUUAUAUGUGUGUAGCUUCUACAAGAGUUGAGGAAUAUGGUUCCACCAGCGGAGUACGUGUUCAUCUUGUUAGAGGAUAAACACACCUCACAGAAGAGGUUUUUGGGUUGAAAAGUAUGCAAAAAUAGGGGUUCUCAGGGUAACAAGAUGGAAGAACUAAAGUUAAUUUGAAAAUGUUCUAAUACCUAAGUUAGCAUCAAUCAGUUGAGGGUAUAAGUUGGAAAGUGAAUAUAGUGAACUUGAAGGGUUAGGUUGUAACGAACAGUUUGAACCAGUUGAAACUACAACAUGGUCUGCUACAACGGGUGUGCUGAAUGAAGUGAUCAAUAUAUAGCUAAGCAGCUGACUUGGAGACUAGAGUUAGAGCUAAGGUGGAGCUGAUCUAGAAAUCUGCUACAAUGAGUGUGCCGAAUUAAUGAGUGAUCAAGAUAUAGUUGAGCAGCUAACUUGGAGACUGGAAUUGUAAAUGAGUAGAGCUGAUCUAGAUGUUAUUCGAAGGUUAAACAGUCAAAUAUUUAUCUAGAAAAAAAUAAACAAAUCAAUGAUGAAGAUUUUCAAAAGAAUUAGUAGAGUCUUAAGAAAUAUUUUAGUUUGAGAUAUUUGGGAAUAUCUCUUUGAGUGAAUAGAGUUAGUCGGUUUCCUACCUUGUAUAAGUAGGAGGGUUUUGUGCUGUGUAUUAGGUUAGCACUUGCAAUUGUAUUUUUGACAUAAGUGGGAUUUUCAUAUCUUGUAAGGUGAGUGAAAACACAAAAGGAUAAAUGGAAAAGUUCUAAGAUCUUGUAUUGAAUCUUAGGGCAUGUGAGACUAAUUCAAUAAGUCAAUGUGUUUUUGAACUUGUUGAUUGUUCGGUUUAAAGAAAGAUUUGUAAUUUUCUUUAAAAAAACUCUAGUAGGUACACAUAUUUUUUUAGAAAUUAUCUUUGGUGUACCUUGUAUUAUAGUUUUUGACGUAAUUCUUGCAUUUACUAAGGGAUCUCUCACUUAGGUUGGGAUUCCUAUCUGCCGGAGAAUUUGAUGAACGCAUUUGUGGGAGGAAUGAGGCUAGGCUUCUUUUCUGAGUGCUCAUAUGCAUAUUGAUAUUAUCAAAAGUGCAAUCCUCUAGUGAGAAGAAAAUAACGUCGGAUCCUUUUUAUCGAGACGAUUUGAUGGAGUUCUCUUCUCCACGAUUGAUGCCGUAUAUACAGAUUUUACGGCUAUUGUACUUGAGUAGCUUAUAGGUCCUAUGGUAUGGUUUUACAUGUCUUCUGAAAUAGCGCAUCUACACCCACUGGUUUUGUGAGUAUGAGGGUGCACUUCUAACAGCAUAUCUUAUUAUGUGAAAGACAUUUUUUGGGGGUGACUUCCCUGAGGGAUGCUCUAAUCUAAACGACACAUGUCAUGUGUCACAUUGUUUCGUGUGGUUAGGCUGAGUCUAGCUUACACGACUUAGCGCCAGGACAUCAAGAUGCCUUCCUUGUUUCCCACAUACCAGAAGUGAGCCCCACGAGAAUUGACAUUAUGGAUCUUCAUGGAGGAUGCCACAUACUCGGGCGCUAAGGAACAUAAAUUUGCCCUUAGAGAGAUUGACUCUUGUUACUUCGCCUGUCUCAUAGAAACACCUGGUAAUCACAACGUUUAUUGGACGUGUAAACAGUGCGCGUCUUUUUCUGAUUAUGAUAAUCAAGAUUAGAACAUAUUAUACCUGACUCGAUAGACAUCUAUCCAAAGACCAUGAGUGACACACUGAGACAGGAAAGGAAUGUCCCGUGCACAAGGCGAUAACAAAAGGAGGGAUUAUUAAUUUUUCAGCAUGUCCACCCCAACAAGCGAAAAAAAUGAAGUUUCUUAGAACCAUUACAUUGACCUUGGAAGUGUUUGGACAGUAAAUAAAGACAAUGUCCCUAAAAACAUGCAAGUGAAUAAGAAAACAGAAAUUUCACCUAUUAACACAAAAAAUGAUAAUCAAAAUUCACAAACUAGCAAAAAUCCUAUCUCUCUUUUCUUUUUCUCUUCCUAUGUGCUCUUUCUAAAACUAAUUUGUUUUUCUUUGUUAUUUCACAAAUAACCCCGUAAAAGUGACAAAACACCUUUUUUUUUGAUAAUCCAGGUAAUCCGGACACUCCGGAGAAAACCUGACUAGCGCCUAAGUACACCUCCGCAGAAGACAUCGUGGAGGGCCGCCUUUUUAACUAGGUAAUUAUUAAACUUAGUAAUUUUUUGUUUUGGGUUCACUAGCCUUAAUUCAUCGAAGAAUUUUGAUAGUUUGCAAUUAUUGGUCAUAAAAUUGCUCUCAAACUGUCGUACUCUUUGUUCAUAGUAAUAAUAAUCGAAUACUUUAUAUUCAUAUUUAUUAUCAAAGAAUUAUAUGCAAUGGGUGCAUGUGUGUAUGCAUUUAGAGGUAUCCACGCGCAUACAGGUUCACCCAAAAGGGUUCCAAUAAUGGAUUUGUUCAAAACAGUUUCUACGUCUGCUUUACAAGUUACUAGUAUUGUGGUAUAUAUAAAGUAUAAAACAUGAGUUAAUUAUGGACUAUAAACUUAAAACACUCGAUUUGAUGAAAAAAAAUACGCAAAAGACUCGAAUUACAAAACAAUUAAUCUUUAAAGACUUUGAUUUCCGAAAAUAUGCUCAUUUGAGAAACUUCAGAAAAAAUGACUUCAACAUAAACUAGUGGUUAUAUAUAUAGAAGAAAAAAAACUGGACAAAAAAUCUGUUUGCGUGCUUUGAAAAAUGUCUAUAUUUCUACAUAUAGUCCGACAUAAUAUAAUAUAUAUAGGUAAUUUAUAGAUAGGUAAAGGACCGAUACAAAUCCUCAGUAAACAUGAAACUUUUUUUUUCUGUGGGAUCCUGAAAGAUUAUGCAACUAAUUUUACGAGCUUUUUAAGAAAGGAAUCCAUGGGUUACAUUAGUUCUGAAAGCUUUGUGGGAUCCUUUCAGUUUUAUCUGUGUCUCUAACCAAUGUAUUUACGAGGUAAAUGGACAAACGACCCAAUAGCUUUUAGUUGUCAGGGAAGGAAUCUCAACUCUAAAGCUGAUUGAUAAACCUAUUAAUUAAACAAUCAGAAUUUGCAGCUGCAAAGAUAAAUUCUCUACUUUUUUUUUGUCAGCACAUAUUUUUUGCUUAAACUAAAAAUAUAUAUAACAAUAUUCUCUGAACUUAAAAGUAACACUUGGAAUCGGAAAAAGAAAACUAUAGAAGCAGAUUUUUCUUCGCAAUCAAGAGAGGUCUCGUAGUUUCAUUGCUUCCCGUGGAAGAAUAAAACACAAUCAUAAGAAAGUUGACUUUUUGGGGUAAAUAAAGGCAAAGUGAAACACUAUAUAACCUUAACAUUCCCUAUUCUGGAAAUAAAACAAUAAAAUAAUAGAAAAUUGAAAAAAAAAUCUGCGAAAAAGGCUUAAACGUUUUGCCAGAUACGGCACCAUAUCUAGCCACUCACUUUCUAGUUUCCAACCUUUUUCGUGUUCAUAUUCUAAGUAUGAAACUGAUCAUAUAUCCUUCGAGAAUCAUUGGAAAUUCAUAAAUAAUUUUACGUGCCACAACAUAUAAGAUAUAACGGGAUAGUAUUAGUGUAUUACUUGCUAAACCAUCUAUCCAAACAUAGAUAGAACUUUUUUUUUUGAAUUAACUACAGUGUCCGGCGAUCAAAAUUAACCGAUUAGUUCUACUGAUACCGACAUUUGUAAAUCCGUUGGUGCCAAUGGGAAUCGAACUGCGCGUUUACCGUAUUGGAGUUAUUCCUCAAGUUUAUUUUAUAAUAAAUGAUAGUUCUACAAUUAGUAAGCUAUUAGUAUAAAAACCGAAUAUACACAAUUUUCUUUGAAAACAAUAGCUCUCCACUAGUUCCAAAACGCACUUCAAGGGAAGAAGAGAAGAGACAAACACAACACAAAGAUUAGUGGUGCUCCCCGAUCACUAAUUAAAAUACUAUUAAAUGUCCAAAGCCUAAAAUAAGCUUCACCUACAUGUAAGCACUUUUUUUACAAAAAUAGAGUGCAAUGUACCUGAAAAUUAUAUAGGUUAUGAUUAAGAUUAAUGAUGGAAACGAAAAUGUAAAUAGAGAAAAACUUCUAAAAUAAAAUUAUGGUUAGAAAAUGAAAAAAAAAGAACACCUUUUGGCAAAAAAAACAAAGAGAGAGAGAGAGAGUUCAAUGCACCUGCUUCCCCGGCAUUGAUAUUAUUACUUUAGAUGACAUGUGUUUCAAAUAUUACAAAGCAACACUUUUGUUUGUUGAGUUGUGAAACUUAUUAAAUAAUUUUUUGAAUUUCUGUACUAAGCAAUUUGUGUAGUGUUAAAAAAAAUAGAGUAGAGCAGAACAAUCUUAAAAAAAGGAAAAAUAUAAGUAAUAUUAAUAAAAUCUCGUGUAAUAUUUAAUAAAAUCUAUCUCGCAAGAUGAAGGUUGAUUUGUAUCAACAAUGAUUGGUUGAUCUAAGAUAGGCUUAUUUUCCAAUAUAGAAGUGUAUAUAAUUUCGGAGGACUCUUCAAAUAAAAGUAAAAUAAAAGCAAAAUGAGGAAAGAGGUCUCUAAAUAAUUCUAACGCGAUUAAGAGAGAAUAAAUUAAGAAUCUGAAUAUGAAAGAGAUGGGAAGAAUAAAAGAAAACAGCUGGAGAGAUAUUUGUGCCUUAUGCAUAAAGAAACUGCGUCGCAAUUAGACAACAAUUGCUUUAAUUUCAGCACAGAUUUUGUCGUUUCCUUUAGCCAUAACGAAAGAUGGUGUGAUGACAGUUGACAAAAAAACUUGUUUUAUAGGCUACUCUUUCAAAAAUAACUUUGGAAUCUGAUAUUAAUAUGUUUCCCCCGAAGUAAUACUCCCUCCGUUUCAAAAUAGAUAAUAUUUUAGAGAGAUUUUAAUGUUUUAAAAUAGAUGAUGUUUUCAUAUAUCAAUGUAUUUUUUUAACUUUAUCAAAAACUAUUUAGUUAAUGAUAUUUUGUAAUCUGUUUUGUGAUUGGUUAAAUAACUUUAAUAUUAUAUUUUAAUAAUAUUCUUAAAAUAAAAAACAAGUUUCUUAAUAAAUGUAUAUAAUCUUAAAACUUUAUGUAUUUUUAAACAAAGGAAAUAGUAUAGUAUAUGUCAUAUGACAUGUACUUACGUGAGACGUUUAAUUGGCAUAUGCUGAGAAACUUCACAGAAGAACAUGUUCCAAAUCCAAAAUGCUUAAAGCAAAUUACUACCGGUAGUAUUUAAGUAUAAAUUUUUAUGUCUAAAAGUAAUACUUUCUCUGUUCCCGAUAGUAAGAUUUUCUAAAGUGUUAACACUUAUUAAAAAUUCAAUAAAUGUUUAUAAUUUAAUUUUUCUUUUACUUUAUUAUAUACUUUCCAAUAAAUUUUCACCAAUAAAAUUUAAUCAAUUCAAAUAUUUUCAUUUAAUGUUUCUUAAAAGUAUAAAAAAUACCUUAAACAUAUAUAAAAUCUAUCUUUGUGGAAUAAGUAAAAAAUCUAAAACAUCUUAUUUUUGGAAACGAAGGGAAUAGAAAAUGAAGUGAAAUGCUAAAAAGAAGUUCUCAGAUGAAUUUUUUUUUUAAAAAGUAUUACGAAACACUUAUCAGUACAACUACACUUUUGCAGUAGUAAAAAGAUGAGAAGAACAAUUAUUUCUUCAUGUUGCUACAAUGUAGAAAAUUUGACAUUAGUUAUAUACCUUGUUCAAAAAAUCGGCCGAGUUGGCGAUUAAGCGGCCGGUUAAACGUGACUCGGGUGGUGGACGUGGCGAGUUGGGCCUCUUCGGUUGAAUUAUACGGAAGGCCGAGUAAGAAGCGUGGAAUACGUAAAAGUUAAAACUCGGCCAUUAGGCGGACGUGGACUGCCGCGUUCUUGAGCGUCUAUUAAAGUCUGAAGCAAAAAUUGCGGUGGAAAAUUGUUUGAGAUUCGUGGUCGAGACGAACGGUGGAGACGGAGAAGAGAUGAAAGCUCAUUAUGAGGACAAAUGGGUUGUCUUUGGGUUUGUUGAAUGAAUUAGAGCUUGAUGUCUGGCGUUUUAGCUAGGCGGAGUCGACAAGGCUUGAGCUUGUUACAAUGGUUUGUGUUGAUGAUGAUGAUGAUGAUGGUGGUGGUUAUGUGAAGUGGGAGGCUAAUUAUUUUUUUCUGUAGAAUCGAGUAAUAUUGCUUUAGAAAAAUACAGUUUUAAUGAUGUCUUAUAAAUUUAAGAACUUUACUUUAGAAUCUGUGUGAGUUUAUCAAUAAAGAAACGUGAAAUAGAAGACAACCUCUAAACUUCCUCGUUUCGUUUUGAUAUGCAACAUUUAUAAUGCAUAUCAAGGAAAUUAAUCAGUUGCGAAAGAAGAAUUGAAGGUUUUAUUGUUUCAUUCACCAUGAAUGGAGGAGAUUUUGAUACAUCUUAUAUAUACAACAAACUGAUGAACGAAAGCAAAACAUGAAUCCACAACAUGACAACAUGAAUACAUUAACACGUAACAUUUUUUUUACAUAAACAUAUAUUUUGUUUGUAAAAAAACAUGUAUUAUACAUAAAAAUUGGUAAUAUACGUAUAAAUGGAGCAGUAUACGUAUAAAAGUACAAAAAAUUCUUCCCCGCGUACUCCCCGAUUUUUUCCCGCUUUUUC